rnacentral:tRNA from 1 species
GGGAAUGUAGCUCAGUGGUAGAGUGCUUGCCUUGCAUGCAUGAAGCCCUGGGUUUGAUUCCUCAGCACCA